GAUGAACGCUGGCGGCGUGCCUAAUACAUGCAAGUCGAGCGAACAGACGAGGAGCUUGCUCCUCUGACGUUAGCGGCGGACGGGUGAGUAACACGUGGAUAACCUACCUAUAAGACUGGGAUAACUUCGGGAAACCGGAGCUAAUACCGGAUAAUAUAUUGAACCGCAUGGUUCAAUAGUGAAAGACGGUUUUGCUGUCACUUAUAGAUGGAUCCGCGCCGCAUUAGCUAGUUGGUAAGGUAACGGCUUACCAAGGCGACGAUGCAUAGCCGACCUGAGAGGGUGAUCGGCCACACUGGAACUGAGACACGGUCCAGACUCCUACGGGAGGCAGCAGUAGGGAAUCUUCCGCAAUGGGCGAAAGCCUGACGGAGCAACGCCGCGUGAGUGAUGAAGGCCUUCGGAUCGUAAAACUCUGUUAUUAGGGAAGAACAAAUGUGUAAGUAACUAUGCACGUCUUGACGGUACCUAAUCAGAAAGCCACGGCUAACUACGUG
rnacentral:rRNA from 1 species